AACGAACGCUGGCGGCAUGCCUAACACAUGCAAGUCGAACGAGAUCUUCGGGUCUAGUGGCGCACGGGUGCGUAACGCGUGGGAAUCUGCCCUUUGGUUCGGAAUAACAGUUGGAAACGACUGCUAAUACCGGACGAUGACGAAAGUCCAAAGAUUUAUCGCCAGAGGAUGAGCCCGCGUAGGAUUAGCUAGUUGGUGUGGUAAAGGCGCACCAAGGCGACGAUCCUUAGCUGGUCUGAGAGGAUGAUCAGCCACACUGGGACUGAGACACGGCCCAGACUCCUACGGGAGGCAGCAGUGGGGAAUAUUGGACAAUGGGCGAAAGCCUGAUCCAGCAAUGCCGCGUGAGUGAUGAAGGCCUUAGGGUUGCAAAGCUCUUUUACCCGGGAUGAUAAUGACAGUACCGGGAGAAUAAGCUCCGGCUAACUCCGUGCCAGCAGCCGCCGCAG
rnacentral:rRNA from 1 species